UACGGGGGGGCAAGCGUUGUUCGGAAUUACUGGGCGUAAAGGGCUCGUAGGCGGCCAACUAAGUCGGACGUGAAAUCCCUCGGCUUAACCGGGGAACUGCGUCCGAUACUGGAUGGCUUGAGAUUGGGAGAGGGAUGCGGAAUUCCAGGUGUAGCGGUGAAAUGCGUAGAUAUCUGGAGGAACACCGGUGGCGAAGGCGGCAUCCUGGACCAUAUGACGCUGAGGAGCGAAAGCCAGGG
rnacentral:rRNA from 1 species